rnacentral:tRNA from 1 species
GGCGGCGUGGUGUAAUGGCUUAACACAUCAGUCCGGUUCUACUGAAGAUGCUGGUUCGCUCCCAGCCGCCGAUU